rnacentral:rRNA from 1 species
CCUACGGGAGGCAGCAGUGAGGAAUAUUGGUCAAUGGGCGCGAGCCUGAACCAGCCAAGUAGCGUGAAGGAUGACUGCCCUACGGGUUGUAAACUUCUUUUGUAAAAGAAUAAAGUGAGGCACGUGUGCCUUUUUGUAUGUACUUUAUGAAUAAGGAUCGGCUAACUCCGUGCCAGCAGCCGCGGUAAUACGGAGGAUCCAAGCGUUAUCCGGAUUUAUUGGGUUUAAAGGGAGCGUAGAUGGGUUGUUAAGUCAGUUGUGAAAGUUCGCGGCUCAACUGUAAAAUUGCAAUUGAUACUGUCAGUCUUGAGUACAGUUGAGGUAGGCGGAAUGCGUGGUGUAGCGGUGAAAUGCUUAGAUAUCACGAAGAACUCCGAUUGCGAAGGCAGCUUACUAAGCUGCCACUGACAUUGAUGCUCGAAAGUGUGGGUAGCAAACAGGAUUAGAUACCCGAGUAGUC